rnacentral:rRNA from 1 species
AGUGAACGCUGGCGGUAGGCCUAACACAUGCAAGUCGAACGGCAGCACAGUAAGAGCUUGCUCUUACGGGUGGCGAGUGGCGGACGGGUGAGGAAUACAUCGGAAUCUACUUUUUCGUGGGGGAUAACGUAGGGAAACUUACGCUAAUACCUCAUACGACCUACGGGUGAAAGCAGGGGAUCUUCGGACCUUGCGCGAUUGAAUUAGCCGAUGUCGGAUUAGCUAGUUGGCGGGGUAAAGGCCCACCAAGGCGACGAUCCGUAGCUGGUCUGAGAGGAUGAUCAGCCACACUGGAAAUGAGACACGGUCCAGACUCCUACGGGAGGCAGCAGUGGGGAAUAUUGGACAAUGGGCGCAAGCCUGAUCCAGCCAUACCGCGUGGGUGAAGAGGGCCUUCGGGUUGUAAAGCCCUUUUGUUGGGAAAGAAAAGCAGCAGGUUAAUACCCCGCUGUUCUGACGGUACCCAAAGAAUAAGCACCGGCUAACUUCGUG